CACUCCUGCGGGAGGCAGCAGUGGGGAAUAUUGCACAAUGGGCGCAAGCCUGAUGCAGCCAUGCCGCGUGUAUGAAGAAGGCCUUCGGGUUGUAAAGUACUUUCAGCGGGGAGGAAGGCGAUAAGGUUAAUAACCUUGUCGAUUGACGUUACCCGCAGAAGAAGCACCGGCUAACUCCGUGCCAGCAGCCGCGGUAAUACGGAGGGUGCAAGCGUUAAUCGGAAUUACUGGGCGUAAAGCGCACGCAGGCGGUCUGUCAAGUCGGAUGUGAAAUCCCCGGGCUCAACCUGGGAACUGCAUUCGAAACUGGCAGGCUAGAGUCUUGUAGAGGGGGGUAGAAUUCCAGGUGUAGCGGUGAAAUGCGUAGAGAUCUGGAGGAAUACCGGUGGCGAAGGCGGCCCCCUGGACAAAGACUGACGCUCAGGUGCGAAAGCGUGGGGAGCAAACAGGAUUAGAAACCCCGGUAGUCCCAU
rnacentral:rRNA from 1 species